rnacentral:rRNA from 1 species
UAGAUGAUGUGGUUUAAUUCGAUGCAACGACGAAAACCUUUACCCACCUUUGACAUGGCAGGAAGUUACCAGAGAUGGUUUCGUGCUCGAAAGAGAACCUGCACACAGGUGCUGCAUGGCUGUCGUCAGCUCGUGUCGUGAGAUGUUGGGUUAAGUCCCGCAACGAGCGCAACCCUUGCCAUCAGUUGCUACGAAAGGGCACUCUGAUGGGACUGCCGGUGACAAACCGGAGGAAGGUGGGGAUGACGUCAAGUCCUCAUGGCCCUUAUAGGUGGGGCUACACACGUCAUACAAUGGCAGGUACAGAGGGCUGCAAAGCCGCGAGGUAGAGCGAAUCCCAGAAAACCUGUCUCAGUCCGGAUUGAAGUCUGCAACUCGACUUCAUGAAGGCGGAAUCGCUAGUAACCGCGAAUCAGCAGGUCGCGGUGAAUACGUUCCCGGGCCUU